GACGAACGCUGGCGGCGUGCCUAAUACAUGCAAGUAGAACGCUGAAGGAGGAGCUUGCUUCUCUGGAUGAGUUGCGAACGGGUGAGUAACGCGUAGGUAACCUGCCUGGUAGCGGGGGAUAACUAUUGGAAACGAUAGCUAAUACCGCAUAACAGUAGAUAUCGCAUGAUAUCUACUUGAAAGGUGCAAUUGCAUCACUACCAGAUGGACCUGCGUUGUAUUAGCUAGUUGGUGAGGUAACGGCUCACCAAGGCGACGAUACAUAGCCGACCUGAGAGGGUGAUCGGCCAAACUGGGACUGAGACACGGCCCAGACUCCUACGGGAGGCAGCAGUAGGGAAUCUUCCGGAAUGGACGGAAGUCUGACCGAGCAACGCCGCGUGAGUGAAGAAGGUUUUCGGAUCGUAAAGCUCUGUUGUAAGAGAAGAACGAGUGUGAGAGUGGAAAGUUCACACUGUGACGGUAGCUUACCAGAAAGAGACGGCUAACUACGUG
rnacentral:rRNA from 1 species